rnacentral:rRNA from 1 species
CGGACGGGUGAGUAAUGUCUGGGAAACUGCCUGAUGGAGGGGGAUAACUACUGGAAACGGUAGCUAAUACCGCGUAACGUCGCAAGACCAAAGAGGGGGACCUUCGGGCCUCUUGCCAUCGGAUGUGCCCAGAUGGGAUUAGCUAGUAGGUGGGGUAACGGCUCACCUAGGCGACGAUCCCUAGCUGGUCUGAGAGGAUGACCAGCCACACUGGAACUGAGACACGGUCCAG